rnacentral:rRNA from 1 species
GACCUGCUGGAUCGCCUUACCCUCCAGGAAGAUGAACUCGAUGAUCUUGUCUGGGAAGAUGAGAUGGAUGCGGCGGAGGUGAAACCUAAGUGGCUGGCUCUCUGCCGCCUCUUGACGACAAAGACGUUCGGUCAAAGUGCCCACAUCGGUGAUAUCAAGGUUGCCUGGAAUCCGGCGCAUGCGGUCGUAUGGAGAUGUAUAAACCCUAAUUUGUUUUUGAUCCAAUUCAACUGCCUUGGUGAUUGGAACAAGGCCAUGCACAAGGGACCGUGGGACUUCAAGGGCGAUGGCAACAACUUUGAUUUUGACUCGGACGAAGAUUAG